rnacentral:rRNA from 1 species
CCCUGCCCUUUGUACACACCGCCCGUCGCACCUACCGAUUGAAUGGUCCGGUGAAACCAUCGGAUCGGCGGCUUUGCUCUUGUAGCGGGUCGCCGAGAAGUCGGUUAAACCUUACCAUUGAGAGGAAG